rnacentral:rRNA from 2 species
GGCGGCAGUAGCGCGGUGGUCCCACCUGACCCCAUGCCGAACUCAGAAGUGAAACGCCGUAGCGCCGAUGGUAGUGUGGGGUCUCCCCAUGUGAGAGUAGGGAACUGCCAGGC